rnacentral:rRNA from 1 species
UGGAUCCACACUUUGAUUAUGGCUCAGGAUGAACGCUAGCGACAGGCUUAACACAUGCAAGUCGAGGGGCAGCGGGGAAGUAGCAAUACUUCCGCCGGCGACCGGCGCACGGGUGAGUAACACGUAUGCAACCUGCCCUUGUCAGGGGGAUAAUCGGAAGAAAUUCCGUCUAAUACCGCAUAACGCCCCUGGGAGACAUCUCCAGGGGGCCAAAGAUUUAUCGGACAAGGAUGGGCAUGCGGCGCAUUAGUUAGUUGGCGGGGUAACGGCCCACCAAGACGACGAUGCGUAGGGGUUCUGAGAGGAAGGUCCCCCACACUGGUACUGAGACACGGACCAGACUCCUACGGGAGGCAGCAGUGAGGAAUAUUGGUCAAUGGCCGAGAGGCUGAACCAGCCAAGUCGCGUGAGGGAAGACGGUCCUAUGGAUUGUAAACCUCUUUUGCCGGGGAGCAAAAUCGUCCACGCGCUGGACGUUCGAGAGUACCCGGAGAAAAAGCAUCGGCUAACUCCGUGCCAGCAGCCGCGGUAAUACGGAGGAUGCGAGCGUUAUCCGGAUUUAUUGGGUUUAAAGGGUGCGUAGGCGGACUGUUAAGUCAGCGGUAAAAUCGAGAGGCUCAACCUCUUCCCGCCGUUGAAACUGGCAGCCUUGAGUGGGCGAGAAGUAUGCGGAAUGCGUGGUGUAGCGGUGAAAUGCAUAGAUAUCACGCAGAACUCCGAUUGCGAAGGCAGCAUACCGGCGCCCAACUGACGCUGAAGCACGAAAGCGUGGGUAUCGAACAGGAUUAGAUACCCUGGUAGUCCACGCAGUAAACGAUGAAUGCUAAUUGUCCGGGCCGAAAGAGGCCUGGGUGAUAAAGCGAAAGCGUUAAGCAUUCCACCUGGGGAGUACGCCGGCAACGGUGCAACUCAAAGGAAUUGACGA